rnacentral:lncRNA from 1 species
UUCACCAAGUCGUCCAUUAGGAGUAGAGAUAUGUAACACAAAUCGAAAUAAAUUGGUGUCCCACCGAUUUUUAUUCAGUCACCAUUCCAUAUAUAAUGACUAUUUUUCCAUAUAGAACACGAAUCAUAUCGCAAUUCAAGAUCAGGUUGUACUCUUUCCGUGUAUGCAACCGAAACUCCACAUCGACAUGUUCAAUUUGUUGGUUCUGGGCGGGACAAUGGAUGAUCCCUGGAAAAGACGGAUCCCCUAGCAGCGAGCCAAAGUUUACCAUCCUAGGUGAAGCCAUCCCCAUCGACCCGUUCAAUUCGUUUGUUCUGGGCGGGCCGGGCGACGAUUUGUGGAAGCGACGAUCCUCUCCCUGCGAGCCAAAGUUUGCCAUGGGAGGUGAAACCACAGGUCAGCACCAUUGCCCUAUUCAUAUGAGUGGAAAAUCAAUGAUUAUGUACAGAUGAAACAAUGUGUAAUGGAUGGGACAUGACCCAACAUCUUUAGUCAAACUAGAAGAAACAAAAUAUGAAGUGAAGGACAUGACCCAGCGUAAGAUUUUUCUUCAAGUGUUUUUGCAAUAUCUCAAGUUCAGGGAUCUAUCAGUUGACAAGAGAUGCACAAAAAAAUAAAACAUGUCCAUUACAACCAAGCAAAAAGCAUUAGACGAUUCUGAAAAGGAGUCUGAAAUUUGAACGAAAAUCGCUUUAACUCAUUUUAGGGUCUGGGGAUCAUGAGAUAAUUAAGACCAUAAAAGCAUAUGUGCAUCCCUAGCGCUGCCCGAGUUAGUUUCAAGGUGGACACAUCAUCCUUUUCAGCAAUUUUAUCAUUUUUGCUAUCUUUAUCCCAUCCCAUGGCACCACCUACAGAAGAUAAGGUGUUGCAAAAUAAUUUAUUUGCGAGUAACAAAACAGACAUAUCAAAAGAGAAGAAAACCUAUGCAUGCGAAGCUUAACUGUAAGCAUUUCUUCUAUCUGAGCGCCAAAUGUAACCCCCUUAGCAUUGUAUACAUGCCAUGUACUAUGAAAGAACAGUAUGUACAUGUCAUAUAUUUUUGUUUGUGUCAUAGACUUCCAUUUCUCGGUAUGAUCAUAUCAUUCUCCCUAUAUGUCUUCCAAAGACAUCCAUAUGAACCUAUAUGUUGCAUAAGUGCAUAUCUACUUCUCAGUUUUAUAGAGAACAAAAAUUGGGUGGCCUGUG